UGAACACAAGGAGUGAAAGAAACCUUAUAACACACGUCACAUAUAGAAUCCCCGUGAACAUACAUACAGUGCAUAUGACAAAAAUACCCCAUCCUACUACCUAGACGCACUGUCUAAAUGGGCCGUGGUGUUUUAUUUGUCUCUCUAUAAAAACUCUGUGCUUGUGUGGCUCUUGUUUCUUUCGUUUAUUUCCUUCUUGCCGCCACUGGAUUCCCAAUUCCUUCUCGAACUUUCUUCGAACACAUGGAACGCAUCGUUGGCGGCAACUACAAGCUCGGCCGCAAGAUCGGAAGUGGAUCCUUCGGUGAAAUCUAUCUCGCUACGCAUAUUGAUACCUUUGAAAUCGUCGCCAUCAAAAUCGAGAACACUAAAACAAAGCAUCCACAACUAAUUUAUGAGGCGAAGCUCUACAAAAUUCUUCAAGGAGGAAGUGGCAUUCCAAGCAUAAAAUGGUUUGGAGUAGACGGUGAGGAUAACGUGCUUGCUAUUGAUUUAUUGGGGCCUAGUCUUGAGGAUCUUUUUGUGUAUUGUGGGAGGAAGUUCUCGUUGAAGACUGUGUUAAUGUUAGCUGAUCAAAUGAUUACUAGAAUAGAAUAUGUGCAUUCGAAAGGAUAUUUACAUAGGGAUAUUAAACCCGAUAACUUCCUCAUGGGACUUGGUCGGAAGGCUAACCAGGUUUACAUAAUUGAUUUUGGGCUAGCAAAACGGUAUAGGGACUCUGCAACCCAUCGCCACAUUCCUUACAGGGAGAACAAAAGCUUAACAGGGACUGCUCGAUAUGCAAGUUGCAAUACUCAUCUUGGGAUUGAGCUAAGUAGGCGGGAUGAUUUGGAAUCGCUAGGAUAUGUACUUCUCUACUUCCUUAGGGGAAGCCUUCCUUGGCAAGGCCUAAAGGCUGCAACAAAGAAACAGAAGUAUGAUAAAAUAUGUCAGAAGAAGGUAUCAACUCCUAUCGAGGUACUAUGCAAAUCUCAUCCCGUAGAGUUUGCUUCAUACUUCCAUUACUGCCACUCAUUGACGUUUGAUCAGCGGCCUGAUUAUGGAUUCUUGAAACGCCUAUUUAGAGACCUAUUUGCUCGGGAAGGUUAUGCAUUUGAUUUCGUUUUUGAUUGGACCAUUUUAAAGUACCAGCAAUCACAGAAGCAUGUAGUGCAGCCUUCCUUACCUCCUGUUCCUGGUGCAAUUAACCGUCAUGCAGUCCCGAUGGAUGUUGACAACCGUCAAGGGCUUGGUGAAGAGCGAAUUAGAUCCGGAAAUGCUACUGGUUCUGGUGGUAAAGUUCAGUUUAAAUCACCAGCUGGUAGAAACUUGAGUUCUGAAAAUCCUCUUAACAAGAAUAUUUUGGGUGAAGCAAAUAUGGCCUCUACUUCGUAUUCCCCGGCUGGUACUUCAAAAAGGAACCCCUUGAACCCUGCCUUGUCUGCUGAACCUUCCGACCGUGGACAUGAGCAAGGCAGUAAAGUUGGCCCAUCAAGUAGCUGGAUGUCAUCUCUGCAACGCAAUUCUUCUUCCAAAUGAAUGUCAAACAUGUAUUUCAAUUUCCAGGCUUGAAUAGUAUGAAGACCCCCAUAAAUGUGAAGCUGCAAAUGCAUGGUGGUUUGCUUGCAUCUUUCCCUAAGUGUUUGGUCAAGAAUAUUAAAGUGGUGUAUUCAUGGAGUUGGAGACUAUGAAUGUGCUGGAAGGUUACAUAUCUCCUAUUUGAGGCUUCUACAUGUUUUGCUUCUUUCCCGAGGUAACACAAUUUGACACUUACCCAGGUUAAUUUGUGAUGUCAUUCUAGGGAUGAAAGUGUAGAAUCUAGUUUUGUUUCAACUUUCAAGUGUGAUUCAAGGAAUUACUUUUCCACUCAAUAUUGUCUGAAGGAUGAAACAUGUCAGAAAUUUGCCUUUUAUGGAUGCCACUAUCUACAGGAACUUACUCAUGAUGCUGCUACUUCUGAUGAAUAAAUCAGCAUAAGCAUUCUGGAUGAGAAUGCGUUAAAGAAAUAUUUGUGUAACUGAGAUUGAUCGAGUCGAUAUGACUUCAAUGGUUAUGUGAAAAUAGUCAUUGAUUUCAGCUAGAGAAAAGGGAGUUUACCUAGCUAUGUUGCUUCAAUUUCUCUUUCUGGCCCAAAUGUUAAUAACUUGGAUUUGGAUUGCAGCAAGCAAGGAACAAUUGACUAGUGAGGAAUGGGUUGCUUUGUUUUUACUUGUUGCAAUUGUCUGCAAAGUAUCACCUACUGUGAAAGUUUGUAAAGCUCUUUGUGCUGAUACUGGUUGUCCAUUUGACAUCUUCAACAGUGGGGUCAUAAAAAUGAAUUCAUAUUUUGUCAAUUUCAAAUUGAAGCCGCACACAUGGAGACUCUUUGGAGGCAUUUCGUAAGCAAGAUUGUUUUCCACACUUCUAUCUAUUCCAAAUUCAAGGAAAUGAAAACCAAAAAUUUUUGAGUUUUAACAGGGGAUUGUGAAGAUUAUAAUACCAAUCCAUGUGAAAAUGCUUAUGUACCGAAUGCGUUGGUGUGUGAAGCAAAAAUUGUGCUUCAAACAAACUGAGAACAAUAUCAAUGAGGUGCACUUCCAGAAUUUGAUUAGUAGUUCAUUUCUAGAAACACUACAGCUGUGAUACUGAAGGCAUUAUACAGAAUAUAAUCCAAGAGGGCUGAAAGAUGGGCAAAGUUAUUUAAAAUAUGAAAGACGUCAAUUAAUGCUUGUUGAGCGUUUUUUCUGCACAAAAGAAGAAUGCUUCUUGAAACGUAUGGUCAAAGUAAAUGCCAGUAAAUUUUUUGCUGUGAAUGGCUGAAUGCUAAUGUUUGUGAAGUGUUAUUUUACACCUUUAAUAUUCCAUUUUCUACCAAUAUAAUGCUGUCGAGUUGAGAUGAGAAUCUAGGUAAAAUGAAUUAAGAUGUU